rnacentral:rRNA from 1 species
GAUGAACGCUGGCGGCGUGCUUAACACAUGCAAGUCGAGCGAAGCACUCUGUCCGGAUUCUUUCGGGAUGACGGACUUAGUGACUGAGCGGCGGACGGGUGAGUAACGCGUGGGUAACCUGCCUCAUACAGGGGGAUAACAGUUAGAAAUGGCUGCUAAUACCGUAUAAGACCACAGCACCGCAUGGUGCGGUGGUAAAAACUCCGGUGGUAUGAGAUGGACCCGCGUCUGAUUAGCUGGUUGGCGGGUAACGCCACCAAGGCGACGAUCAGUAGCCGACCUGAGAGUGUGACCGGCACAUUGGGACUGAGACACGGCCCAAA